UCUGUGAAUCUUAGGCGCUGGGGAGAGUGGAAGAGGAGAUGAAGUGUCUGAGCCCUCGGAGGGGUCUCUAAUCUGCAUUUUAAGGACUCGGCCCGUUUCAGCUAAGUCUCCCAUGUCUCUCUUCUGAGGUGAUGUUUUUGGACAUAUACUACCCAUUUUGUUGUGUGGAUGCUCUGGCUGCUAGCUUUGGUGCUGUCUUUGCUAAAUGUCCUUGAAUUUUCUUCCCCAACUCCUUGAGAACUAUGAAAGCCUGCGUGAUGCCUGCUAGAGGUGAGGUGG